CCUACGGGCGGCAGCAGUGGGGAAUAUUGCACAAUGGGCGCAAGCCUGAUGCAGCGACGCCGCGUGAGGGAUGACGGCCUUCGGGUUGUAAACCUCUGUUAGCAUCGAAGAAGCGAAAGUGACGGUAGGUGCAGAGAAAGCGCCGGCUAACUACGUGCCAGCAGCCGCGGUAAUACGUAGGGCGCGAGCGUUGUCCGGAAUUAUUGGGCGUAAAGAGCUUGUAGGCGGUUGGUCGCGUCUGCUGUGAAAGGCCGGGGCUUAACCCCGUGUAUUGCAGUGGGUACGGGCAGACUAGAGUGCAGUAGGGGAGACUGGAAUUCCUGGUGUAGCGGUGGAAUGCGCAGAUAUCAGGAGGAACACCGAUGGCGAAGGCAGGUCUCUGGGCUGUAACUGACGCUGAGAAGCGAAAGCAUGGGGAGCGAACAGGAUUAGAUACCCGGGUAGUC
rnacentral:rRNA from 1 species